AUGGAGAAAAAUAAAGCUGCUGGUCCGGAUGGUCUUAACAUGGAGUUUUAUCAGCACUUCUGGGCCCUGGUUGAGGAUAAUCUAUUUGCAUUAUUAGAAGAGUUUUAUGAACAUAAUUUAGACCUUGAUAGGCUGAAUUAUGGAGUAAUCUCCCUCUUGCCCAAAGGGAGUGGCGCUGACAAAAUUCAAAAAUAUAUACCGAUUUGCCUUCUGAAUGUUAUUUUCAAGAUUAUUACCAAAAUUUUUGUUAAUAGAUUGAUUAGAAUUAUAUCUGGGGUGAUAAGGGCCUCUCAAAUGCUAAUUUUUUUAAUAAUACAUUUUUUAUUAAAUUUCAGAAAUAUUACGCCGUAA
rnacentral:rRNA from 1 species